rnacentral:sRNA from 1 species
AUCAGGUGUGGUGGCAUAUACCUGUAAUCCCAGCCGCUCAGGAGAUUGAGGCAGGAGGAUCAUGAGUUCAAAGCCAGCCUCAGCAAUUUAUCAAGGUCCCAAGCAAAUCAGUGAGAUCCUGUCUCUA